rnacentral:rRNA from 1 species
UACAGAGGGUGCGAGCGUUAAUCGGAAUUACUGGGCGUAAAGCGUGCGUAGACGGUAGCGUAAGUCGGGUGUGAAAGCCCCGGGCUCAACCUGGGAAUUGCAUUCGAGACUGCUCUGCUAGGGUGCGGAAGAGGGAAGCGGAAUUUCCGGUGUAGCGGUGAAAUGCGUAGAUAUCGGAAGGAACACCUGUGGCGAAAGCGGCUCACUGGACCACAACUGACGCUGAGGCGCGAAAGCUAGGGGAGCAAACGGG